AGUUCCUACGGGGCGCAGCAGUGGGGAAUAUUGGACAAUGGGGGAAACCCUGAUCCAGCGACGCCGCGUGAGUGAAGAAGUAUUUCGGUACGUAAAGCUCUAUCAGCAGGAAAGAAAAUGACGGUACCUGACUAAGAAGCCCCGGCUAACUACGUGCCAGCAGCCGCGGUAAUACGUAGGGGGCAAGCGUUAUCCGGAUUUACUGGGUGUAAAGGGAGCGUAGACGGCUGUGCAAGUCUGAAGUGAAAGCCCGUGGCUCAACCGCGGAACUGCUUUGGAAACUGCCAUGCUGGAGUGCUGGCGAG
rnacentral:rRNA from 1 species